rnacentral:lncRNA from 1 species
AUCUCUACUUGGAGCCUGCUUCUUGCUGGGAGUUUCUAGUGAGCCUGUAUCUUCUGAGCAGGAAGCUACGUGGCAAUCCAAAAAGGAAGUUGGGAAACAUUUAUUGCUUAAUAAAUGAUUGAAAUAGAAUGUUGCAUAUAGUAUUGCAUUUUACCUGUGACUAUGCCAGACUGAAGACACCUCCAGCUUAUUAUAGAAACUAAGCCCAAAUUGGUGGGUAAUUGGAUAGAGGGACCACCUGGAAGUCUUGGAUGCUGUAAGCACAUGCCAAGAAACUAGCUGUGCAUUUGGCAAAUAUUUGACUUUGGAAACCCGAAGAAAGGAAAGAUUUCAUUUGGCUCAUUGUUUUUCCUGAGCUAACAGACCAGAAUACAAUGAAGUUAUUGCUUUUUGUUCUUCAAUUUGGACAAUGAAGGAACAAGAAAAUGUCUAGAAGAGAAAGAUCUACAGAUGAAUCUUCAGUUAAUCCUGGAGACAGAAACAUCUUCAGAUAACACUGCUGAGAUCCAGUACAUAUUUUAAAAUUAGUUUUAGGAAAAAAAUGGUAAUUACUGAAGUAAUUCUUAUACAGUACUAUCAAUGAUUUUUUUUUUUAAAUCUGAAGUUCUUAACUCCCAGAAGGGUCACAAAAGCAAAUGCCAAGUCCUGCACCAGGGAGAAAAUGAUUUGAUGCUGAGCACCAAUUGGGUAGAACUCAUGAGUGAGUUCUAGGUCACAAAACCCAGUAAGUCUGAAGGAACCCAUAGUCUUCAUGGCCUAGUAAGUAUAGCCCUGAAAUCAUUCAAGAUCAGCUUUGCCAGCUAUGGCACUUGUGGAUCUGCAGGUUUAGCCUUAAGACUGAGAGAUAUGACUGAGAAGUUAAAUGGAAUAGGUGGGAAGGAUGGUCACAACUGCUACAAGUCUAGAUAAUGCUUGACUGUUUGGCACAAAGAUGAACUCUGAAUCUGAUCAGAUACGUGGCUUUGUCACAGGCUAAAUUCUCCAAGGACACUUAUGGAGUGAUCAAGUUUUCCAGGUUCCUCUGAUAGGCAUUGUCAUCCACUUUUGAAGACCAGGCACACAUACAUAGCUUGAAUCCCUGACUGAUGGUAGCCUGAAGUCAGAUGGCUUCACUAGUUAAGUGUGUAGAUGUUUAAAAUAAGUAUAGCAUACAACACCUACAGAUCAGGCUUGCAGGCUAGCAAAAGAAAUCUGGCUGUACUUCAACUGAUCUAGAUGAUGCAAACUCAUUGUGAAUAUCUCCAACUUAUCAUCAGGUAUUCUUGGAGCAUAGAUUAGCAUCUUUGUGUUGUACAACACAGCCUUUCUUCCACUUGUGCACUUCCUUCUGAAUCACAGUUUUCUGUGAGUAUGGGCUCCAACUUGACAGAUCUCACAGCUGAACAGUAAAAUAGCCUUUCUCUAGCUUAAAACUGUGAGAAAACUAGCUUAAAACCUUCCCUUCUUCUCUAGACCCUUGGUUUGCAUUCCAUCAUUGUGUUCUCUGUGUUUGAAGUUCAACCAUGCGAACUUUUACUUCAGUGUUCUGCAGAUAGGAAUUCUUUGCUCUCAAGUACCAGCUAAAUUCAGGGUUAUUGAAGGAAGCGGUUUAUCCUCUAUCAACCACCCAUGAAACAAUCAGUGCCAACGCACCUCAGUGUGACACAGGCAGGGGAAACAAGGACUACCACAACAAUGCCUCCUAUGUUCAUGUCCAUGAGCUCCAUAAGGAAAUGUCCUCUCGUCCUACUGAAUUCAAAAGUUGCCUCACCUAGCAUCAGAUGACCUCAAAUCAGGAGAGAUUUUGAGAGCACUUCCUUGAGAUAUAUCAAAUCUUAUUGAGGUGCU